UCUGGGCAUGGUGGCACAUGCCUGUAAAACCAGUCCUUUCACUUCGUGAGGCUAAGGUGUGCAGCUCACUUGUGCUUAGGAGUUCAAGACCAGCCUGGCCAACAUGAUGACCCUGCUCUACUAAAAA